ensembl:rRNA 5S_rRNA 5S ribosomal RNA
AUCUAUGACCAUGUUACCCCAAACAAGCCCAGUAAAGUCUGAUCUCAGAAGCUAAGCAGGGUUGGAUCUGGUUAGUACUUGGAUGGGAGACCACCUAGGAAGAUCAGGUGCUGUAGGCA